rnacentral:rRNA from 1 species
UACGUAGGGUGCAAGCGUUGUCCGGAAUUAUUGGGCGUAAAGAGCUCGUAGGCGGUCUGUCGCGUCUGCUGUGAAAAUCCGGGGCUCAACCCCGGACUUGCAGUGGGUACGGGCAGACUAGAGUGUGGUAGGGGAGACUGGAAUUCCUGGUGUAGCGGUGAAAUGCGCAGAUAUCAGGAGGGAACACCGGUGGCGAAGGCGGGUCUCUGGACAGUUCCUGACGCUGAGGCACGAAGGUCAGGGGAGCAAACGGG